UACGUAGGAAGCAAGCGUUAUCCGGAUUUACUGGGCGUAAAGUGAGCGUAGGUGGCCUUUCAAGUCAGAUGUGAAAUCUCCUGGCUUAACCAGGAGGGGUCAUUUGAUACUGUUGGGCUAGAGGACAUCAAGGGAAGGUGGAAUUCCGGGUGUAGUGGUGAAAUGCGUAGCUAUCCGGAGGAACACCAGUGGCGAAGGCGGCCUUCUGGGAUGUUUCUGACACUGAGGCUCGAAAGUGUGGGGAGCGAACAGGAUUAGAUACCCUGGUAGUCCACACUGUAAACUAUGGACACUAGGUAUAGGGAGUUUCGACCCUCUCUGUGCCGAAGCCAACGCUUUAAGUGUCCCGCCUGGGGACUACGGCCGCAAGGUUAAA
rnacentral:rRNA from 1 species